rnacentral:rRNA from 1 species
UACGGAGGGUGCAAGCGUUAUCCGGAUUCACUGGGUUUAAAGGGUGCGUAGGCGGGCAGGUAAGUCCGUGGUGAAAUCUCUGAGCUUAACUCGGAAACUGCCAUGGAUACUAUUUGUCUUGAAUGUUGUGGAGGUAAGCGGAAUAUGUCAUGUAGCGGUGAAAUGCUUAGAUAUGACAUAGAACACCGAUUGCGAAGGCAGCUUACUACACAAAUAUUGACGCUGAGGCACGAAAGCGUGGGGAGCAAACAGGA